rnacentral:lncRNA from 1 species
CUGGCAUUGACACACUCAUUUCUACUAUCUUUCUACCCUAAUCUGUCUCUUCCAUAUCUUCUUAUCUAGGAUCAUGUCCUCGAUAAGCUGAAGCUGCUUUAUAACAUGUCUACUCACCUCCCUUCAAUAUUUCUCCGGUUAGAAAGAAAAGAAAAGAGAGAUAGCUGGAGAUGAGGUCGACAAGUUUGAUAACCCACCAAAAAUGUGUCGCUGGAAAAAAGGCGACAUGGCGGUGGUAAGAGAUAAAGUCGUCGAAUAUCCUAGUCGCCAGAGAGAGAUGAAAACGACGUCAAAAUGAGGAGGGUUUUGAGGAUGAAGAGGCGGCAUAACAGUAUCUAAUUACAGUGUAGUAACUUGUGGCGCCAGACACGCUGGGGGAAGUGGAAUGGCGGACAAUCGACAGUUUGUUUUUGUCCAUGUGUAUGUGAGAGAGAUGAUGAUGCGCCGGCUU